GAUGAACGCUGGCGGCGUGCCUAAUACAUGCAAGUCGAGCGAACGGACGAGAAGCUUGCUUCUCUGAUGUUAGCGGCGGACGGGUGAGUAACACGUGGAUAACCUACCUAUAAGACUGGGAUAACUUCGGGAAACCGGAGCUAAUACCGGAUAAUAUUUUGAACCGCAUGGUUCAAAAGUGAAAGACGGUCUUGCUGUCACUUAUAGAUGGAUCCGCGCUGCAUUAGCUAGUUGGUAAGGUAACGGCUUACCAAGGCAACGAUGCAUAGCCGACCUGAGAGAGUGAUCGCCCACACUAGAACGGAGACACGGUCCAGACUCCUACGAGAGGCAGCAGUAGGGAAUCUUCCGCAAUGGUCGAAAACCUGACGGAGCAGCGCCGCGUGAGUGAUGAAGGUCUUCCGAUCGUAAAACUCUGUUAUUAGGGAUGAACAUAUGUGUACGUAACUGUGCACAUCUUGACGGUACCUAAUCAGAAAGCCACGGCUAACUACGUG
rnacentral:rRNA from 1 species